rnacentral:rRNA from 1 species
GAUGAACGCUGGCGGCGUGCCUAAUACAUGCAAGUAGAACGCUGAAGGAGGAGCUUGCUCUUCUGGAUGAGUUGCGAACGGGUGAGUAACGCGUAGGUAACCUGCCUGGUAGCGGGGGAUAACUAUUGGAAACGAUAGCUAAUACCGCAUGACAACAGUUAUUGCAUGAUAACUGUUUAAAAGUGGCAACUGCUCCACUACCAGAUGGACCUGCGUUGUAUUAGCUAGUUGGUGAGGUAACGGCUCACCAAGGCGACGAUACAUAGCCGACCUGAGAGGGUGAUCGGCCACACUGGGACUGAGACACGGCCCAGACUCCUACGGGAGGCAGCAGUAGGGAAUCUUCGGCAAUGGACGGAAGUCUGACCGAGCAACGCCGCGUGAGUGAAGAAGGUUUUCGGAUCGUAAAGCUCUGUUGUAAGAGAAGAACGAGUGUGAGAGUGGAAAGUUCACAGUGUGACGGUAUCUUAACAGAAAGGGACGGCUAACUACGUG